GGGUGAUUAGCUCAGUUGGUAGAGCAGCUGACUCUUAAUCAGCGGGUCGUAGGUUCGAGCCCUACAUCACCCACCA
rnacentral:tRNA from 549 species